rnacentral:rRNA from 1 species
GUGGGGAAUAUUGGACAAUGGGGGGAACCCUGAUCCAGCCAUGCCGCGUGUGUGAAGAAGGCCUUUUGGUUGUAAAGCACUUUAAGCGAGGAGGAGGCUACCGAGAUUAAUACUCUUGGAUAGUGGACGUUACUCGCAGAAUAAGCACCGGCUAACUCUGUGCCAGCAGCCGCGGUAAUACAGAGGGUGCAAGCGUUAAUCGGAUUUACUGGGCGUAAAGCGCGCGUAGGUGGCCAAUUAAGUCAAAUGUGAAAUCCCCGGGCUUAAGUUGGGAAUUGCAUUCGAUACUGGUUGGCUAGAGUAUGGGAGAAGAUGGUAGAAUACCAGGUGUAGCGGUGAAAUGCGUAGAGAUCUGGAGGAAUACCGAUGGCGAAGGCAGCCAUCUGGCCUAAUACUGACACUGAGGUGCGAAAGCAUGGGGAGCAAACAGGAUUAGAUACCCUAGUAGUCC